GGGAGGGGGACUGUGGAUCCUCUGUCCCACCAUCUUUCCCAAAGUUUUUCUCUCCUGAACUUUGUGUCUGACGACAACUGUCUCCGUGUGAAGCUCUGUGUUAAGAAACCGGAUCUCGCUCUGGCGUCUGAAGCUUCUAAGGCUUCCGUUUCUCACAAGACGUGUUUGCACUGUGAGGGAGCUACAAUUGCGGGUACCACCAGAAGACACAUGUUAAGUGUGUUCUAUGUCUUUUGCAGGU